rnacentral:rRNA from 1 species
GAUGAACGCUGGCUACAGGCUUAACACAUGCAAGUCGAGGGGAAACGACGGGGAAGCUUGCUUCCCCGGGCGUCGACCGGCGCACGGGUGAGUAACGCGUAUCCAACCUGCCUCUGACUGAGGGAUAACCCGUCGAAAGUCGGCCUAAUACCUCAUGGCAUCGUCUGCGGGCAUCCAACGACGAUUAAAGAUUUCAUCGGUCAGAGAUGGGGAUGCGUCUGAUUAGCUUGUUGGCGGGGUAACGGCCCACCAAGGCGACGAUCAGGAGGGGUUCUGAGAGGAAGGUCCCCGACAUGGGAACUGAGACACGGUCCAAACUCCUACGGGAGGCAGCAGUGAGGAAUAGUGGUCAAUGGGCGAGAGCCUGAACCAGCCAAGUAGCGUGCAGGAUGACGGCCCUAUGGGUUGUAAACUGCUUUUAGGCGGGGAUAAAGUGAGGGACGUGUCCUUCAUUGCAGGUACCGCAUGAAUAAGGACCGGCUAAUUCCGUG